rnacentral:rRNA from 1 species
AACGAACGCUGGCGGCAGGCUUAACACAUGCAAGUCGAGCGCCCCGCAAGGGGAGCGGCAGACGGGUGAGUAACGCGUGGGAAUCUACCCAUCUCUACGGAAUAACGCAUGGAAACGUGUGCUAAUACCGUAUACGUCCUUCGGGAGAAAGAUUUAUCGGGAGAUGGAUGAGCCCGCGUUGGAUUAGCUAGUUGGUGGGGUAAAGGCCUACCAAGGCGACGAUCCAUAGCUGGUCUGAGAGGAUGAUCAGCCACACUGGGACUGAGACACGGCCCAGACUCCUACGGGAGGCAGCAGUGGGGAAUAUUGGACAAUGGGCGCAAGCCUGAUCCAGCCAUGCCGCGUGAGUGAUGAAGGCCCUAGGGUUGUAAAGCUCUUUCACCGGUGAAGAUAAUGACGGUAACCGGAGAAGAAGCCUCGGCUAACUUCGUGCCAGCCGCCGCCGUAAGAC